rnacentral:rRNA from 1 species
GACGAACGCUGGCGGCGUGCCUAAUACAUGCAAGUAGAACGCAGUUGCGAACGGGUGAGUAACGCGUAGGUAACUGCCUCAUAGCGGGGGAUAACUAUUGGAAACGAUAGCUAAAACCGCAUACUGUGAGAUGGACCUGCGUUGUAUUAGCUAGUUGGUGAGGUAAAGGCCCACCAAGGCGACGAUACAUAGCCGACCUGGGAGGGUGAUCCGCCCCACCUGGACUGGGACCCUGCCCCGACUCCUACGGGGGGCAGCCGGAGGGAAUCUUCGGCAAUGGGCGGCAGUCUGACCGAGCAACGCCCCGUGAGUGAAGAAGGUUUUCGGAUCGUAAAGCUCUGUUGUUCGAGAAGCGGUAACUACCCAGAAAGGGACGGCUAACUACGUGCCAGCAGCCGCGGUAAUAC